rnacentral:rRNA from 1 species
GAAUUCGCCCUUAGAGUUUGAUCCUGGCUCAGGAUGAACGCUGGCGGCGUGCCUAACACAUGCAAGUCGAACGGACUUAAUAUGAAACCUAGUGAAUGUUAAGUUAGUGGCGGACGGGUGAGUAACGCGUGGAUAACCUGCCGUAUGCAGGGGGAUACCAACUGGAAACAGUUGCUAAUACCGCAUAAGCGCACGGUGCCGCAUGGCACAGUGCGAAAAGAAAUUCGGCAUACGAUGGAUCCGCGUCCGAUUAGCCAGUUGGCGGGGUAACGGCCCACCAAAGCGACGAUCGGUAGCCGGCCUGAGAGGGCGGACGGCCACAUUGGGACUGAGACACGGCCCAAACUCCUACGGGAGGCAGCAGUGGGGAAUAUUGCACAAUGGGGGAAACCCUGAUGCAGCAACGCCGCGUGAGUGAAGAAGUAUUUCGGUACGUAAAGCUCUAUCAGCAGGAAAGAAAAUGACGGUACCUGACUAAGAAGCCCCGGCUAACUACGUGCCAGCAGCCGCGGUAAUACGUAGGUGGCGAGCGUUAUCCGGAAUGAUUGGGCGUAAAGGGUGCGCAGGCGGUCCUGCAAGUCUGGAGUGAAACGCAUGAGCUCAACUCAUGCAUGGCUUUGGAAACUGGAGGACUGGAGAGCAGGAGAGGGCGGUGGAACUCCAUGUGUAGCGGUAAAAUGCGUAGAUAUAUGGAAGAACACCAGUGGCGAAGGCGGCCGCCUGGCCUGUUGCUGACGCUGAGGCACGAAAGCGUGGGGAGCAAAUAGGAUUAGAUACCCUAGUAGUCCACGCCGUAAACGAUGAGGACCAAGUGUUGGGGGUGAAACCUCAGUGCUGAAGUUAACGCAGUGAGUCCUCCGCCUGGGGAGUAUGCACGCAAGUGUGAAACUCAAAGGAAUUGACGGGGGCCCGCACAAGCGGUGGAGUAUGUGGUUUAAUUCGAAGCAACGCGAAGAACCUUACCAGGCCUUGACAUGGGAUGCGAAGAUGCAGAGAUGCAUCGGAGGUCAACAUCCACACAGGUGGUGCAUGGUUGUCGUCAGCUCGUGUCGUGAGAUGUUGGGUCAAGUCCCGCAACGAGCGCAACCCUUGUGGCAUGUUGCUAACAGGAAAAGCUGAGGACUCAUGCCAGACUGCCGGUGACAAACCGGAGGAAGGCGGGGAUGACGUCAAAUCAUCAUGCCCCUUAUGGCCUGGGCUACACACGUACUACAAUGGCGGCUACAAAGAGCAGCGAGACAGGGAUGUCGAGCGAAUCUCAUAAAAGCCGUCCCAGUUCGGAUUGGAGGCUGCAACCCGCCUCCAUGAAGUUGGAAUCGCUAGUAAUCGCGGAUCAGCAUGCCGCGGUGAAUACGUUCCCGGGCCUUGCACACACCAACCGUCA